UACUUGGUGGCGACCGGCGCACGGGUGAGUAGCGCGUAUGCAACCUACCUAUCAGACGGGGAAUAACCGGCGAAAGUCGGACUAAUACCGCAUAAAACAGGGGCACCGCAUGGUGAUAUUUGUUAAAGAAAUUCGCUGAUAGAUGGGCAUGCGUUCCAUUAGGUAGUUGGUGAGGUAACGGCUCACCAAGCCGACGAUGGAUAGGGGAACUGAGAGGUUGGUCCCCCACACUGGUACUGAGACACGGACCAGACUCCUACGGGAGGCAGCAGUGAGGAAUAUUGGUCAAUGGGCGAGAGCCUGAACCAGCCAAGUCGCGUUGAAGGAAGAAGGAUCUAUGGUUCGUAAACUUCUUUUGCAGGGGAAUAAAGUGCAGGACGUGUCCUGUUUUGUAUGUACCCUGAGAAUAAGGAUCGGCUAACUCCGUGCCAGCCGCCGC
rnacentral:rRNA from 1 species